rnacentral:rRNA from 73 species
UCUCCUGAAGGAACGUUGAAGACGACGACGUUGAUAGGCCGGGUGUGUAAGCGCAGCGAUGCGUUGAGCUAACCGGUACUAAUGAACCGUGAGGCUUAACCUU